rnacentral:rRNA from 1 species
CAAAAAUGCACAUGCUGUGAGCUCGAUGAGUAGGGCGGGACACGUGGUAUCCUGUCUGAAUAUGGGGGGACCAUCCUCCAAGGCUAAAUACUCCUGACUGACCGAUAGUGAACCAGUACCGUGAGGGAAAGGCGAAAAGAACCCCGGCGAGGGGAGUGAAAAAGAACCUGAAACCGUGUACGUACAAGCAGUGGGAGCACGCUUAGGCGUGUGACUGCGUACCUUUUGUAUAAUGGGUCAGCGACUUAUAUUCUGUAGCAAGGUUAACCGAAUAGGGGAGCCGAAGGGAAACCGAGUCUUAACUGGGCGUUAAGUUGCAGGGUAUAGACCCGAAACCCGGUGAUCUAGCCAUGGGCAGGUUGAAGGUUGGGUAACACUAACUGGAGGACCGAACCGACUAAUGUUGAAAAAUUAGCGGAUGACUUGUGGCUGGGGGUGAAAGGCCAAUCAAACCGGGAGAUAGCUGGUUCUCCCCGAAAGCUAUUUAGGUAGCGCCUCGUGAAUUCAUCUCCGGGGGUAGAGCACUGUUUCGGCAAGGGGGUCAUCCCGACUUACCAACCCGAUGCAAACUGCGAAUACCGGAGAAUGUUAUCACGGGAGACACACGGCGGGUGCUAACGUCCGUCGUGAAGAGGGAAACAACCCAGACCGCCAGCUAAGGUCCCAAAGUCAUGGUUAAGUGGGAAACGAUGUGGGAAGGCCCAGACAGCCAGGAUGUUGGCUUAGAAGCAGCCAUCAUUUAAAGAAAGCGUAAUAGCUCACUGGUCGAGUCGGCCUGCGCGGAAGAUGUAACGGGGCUAAACCAUG